UGACCGCUUUCCUCCGGAAAGCUAAGGCUACACGGACGGCCGGGUCAAAUGCCGA
rnacentral:sRNA from 1 species